rnacentral:rRNA from 1 species
ACAAUGAAGAGUUUGAUCCUGGCUCAGGAUGAACGCUAGCGGCAGGCUUAACACAUGCAAGUCGAGGGGCAGCACGGGUAGCAAUACUUGGU